GGGUCCCCUGAGAGGAAACCCCCCCACCCCACCCCACCACCACCUCCUCCCCCCCUCUUUCUCCAUUUUGUGUGCUUUGUAAAAGCAGCACAAGUCUUCUCGCUGUCCACCACAUGAGGGAUAUAGGACUAUUAUUUUGAUCGAGCUCGUCGUGGCUCCACUUGCUGUGUGAAAUGUUUCAGCUCCGACUUUCCGGUUGACUCUACUGAAAAAGGCCUUAAACUCCACACGAAACCUCCUCACUAGAAACUUUCUCACCAACCAAACCUUCUCUGCCCUGUAAUCCGCAAUUAUCCAGGUUCCCAGUGAACAAGGUCUGAAGACUGUGCUCAGCUCCCUGCUGUGAAUUCAAAGAAAAAGCACAAUAAAAUGAGGAAGAGACCGGGAGGCCUUGUAUGGAUCAUCACAUAAAUACAACAGCAAUGCUAGGUCACUGUGAAAAAUCCUGGUCAACACAUAACAAAGGUGAACUUGGACAAUGGAAACACUCGUUCAGUUUUGACCAAAACAAAAUCUUAACUCAAAGUCCGCUUGCUUGCUGUUUCAUGGUCACAUGGUUGAAUAAAUAACUGAGAAGUGGGUUUUAAAGCUCUGGAAAAACCAAGUAAGUAAAUGUUGAGUUAAGCUUUCUAAGUGAGUUCAAUUUUUGACCUUGGAAACAGAAGUUGACAAAACAAUCUUACCUCAAGAUCUAGUAGCUGUUCUGGAGAUUUCAGUCAUAUCACAAGAUCUUCAUCAGAAUAUGCCCAGUUGCCAUUGAUAUGUAGAUGUUUGAAUUUCCAUUUUUUCUGAGCACUAAAUGGACUUCUUGUCAUCUCCAUGUGUUGAUGAAGAUCAUGUGAUAUGAUCGAAAGCUCCAGCUCUUGAAAUUCUGUUCGGUGUUCUUGAAAAUAGAUGUUCUUAAUUUGCAGUUAAUGAGGUCAUUUAUUUUUUAAACCCAUCUUAAUGAAGGAGGUUAGUCAAAAGCAUUUUUUUCUGAACGGUAACGAAGAAGAGAACGCCCAUUAUCAGAACUAGGUUUUUUGAGGUGUUAGCAGAUGGCAAGAGCACAUGCGUAAUGAAACUCGCUCACUUUCAGUCUCUUCACUGAUUCCUGGGGGCCCACAUCUGGCCAGCUUUCACUUCAAAGAAGUCAUCCGUCACAACUGCUUUUUGGUUUUUCUAAUAAGCACUUACACCCCCACACACUCACAAAUAAUUGAUGUAGUAAAUACUGUAUUUCCAUUGGAAUUUCUACAUUUACAUUUUCAGCUCAAACUCUUAUUCAGACUCUUAGUUGAGCAACAGGUGAAACAGCUUCAUUUUCUAGACUGUAAACAUUACAAGCAAUCAACAGCGGUCUGUACGUCUGAGGUCACAUUAUAGAGCAAUGUCAGAAGAAAGAAAUAAUAGGGGGAAAAGAUCAAAUAAACAGGCAUACCAUAGGUACUAACAAUCUGUUUCUGCACACUAAUGGUGGAUCUCAUUAGUCCAGCAGCAGACAUCAUGUUUCUGUUCUUAUUACAGCAAAUAUGCAUGGAAAGCAAUUUGAAUACAUGCAAUCCACACAUUUUAACAGCAGAUAGGAAGAGCGUUCACACAUGACUGACAACUGGUUCUCUUUUAACAUUUGACACAGUAUAAGAAGACGAUCUGUGGAGAAAACAGGGAGUUCAUUAAGGGGAUGUAAUGGCUGCUUUGGGAGCAAAUAAAUGAAUGUGUUGAGUCUGGAUGUAUAAAUGAAACUAUUACCUGCAAUCAGCUUGAUUCACACAUUACACUUAAUUAUCACUUCAAGGAAUGACAUUUAGAUGAUCAAAAAAUGCAGAUGUGGACCAUAAAUAUUGGGUUUACACACGUGUCUGAAAUCAAACAAUAUUUUAAGUAACCUCUUUAUAUUAAAUAACAAAGAUGCCAGUAUAUAAGCAGAUCUCUGCAAUUUAGUGAACCGUGGGCCUCAGAACUACAAAAUACAUGUUAUGGUUUGUACUAUAUAUAGAAAAUGGAAAUCUAUUGUCAGUUGUUUUCGUUCAGUUAUGGACAAAUGAUGCCUGGAUCUCAUUAUCUGGUUUUGAACGAGGGCUUUUCUUUCUAACUAUAGGAGACUUUUUCCUGCCUCAGCAGCCUCAUCAUUACAGUACAGGCUGUUUAAUGUGGACCGUUCCUCUCAGUCUGUUUGUUUCUGCAGGAAGGCAUUGAAGUUACACAAGAUGUUUUCUACCUGCUCUGGCUCUGGGAGAGGCACACCAUGCUUAGGAAUGCCACCGAGGGAAAAUUUGAAUUGAGAAUUUCCAGUUACUUAAAGCAUUAAGGAUGUAAAGACCAUUUGAGCCUCUAAAAACAGCCAUUUGGCAAUUUCUAAAUGAUAGUCAAGGCUCUUCUUGUUUUUUUUUCAUUAUGAGUAAAAUAAAAAACAAAAACGUGCCUUACUUUUUUACCCCUACAAGAGCUCCUGGCAGGCAGUGACUUUUCAGUCUGAACAGGCGAUUCUGGCUUCAGUCUACACUUUGACCUGUAGAUCUUUCAUUGAGAAUCAGUUGAUUGGAAGACCCUCCUGUGAGCUCUCCACUAUAAACAGUGUUUCUUUAGAAAAAAAUGACAAAAAUUCUUGCUUUUCACUUUUGCUAUGCCCUCACCAAACACUUUAGACACCAUCACCUAAAAAUAUUUCUCCAUCUAUUGACAGGCUGCUGUGACCCCUGCCCUAACCCGUUACACUGCCAUUCGUUGCUCAUCUUGUCAGGGAUCUUAUAAUUAAA